rnacentral:misc_RNA from 1 species
AAUGCAAGUUGUGCUCGAAGCCUUGGUUAAGGGCACAUCUGCCUAGGUGUCACACAUUGUGUUGCCUCCAAACCCUUUACCCCUUGAAUGUUGCGGCAAUGGUUUCGAUGCAGAAGCUGGCCUCCCGUGACCACAAGCUACGGAUGGCCUAAAUACGUGUUGGGGAAGCGAAGCGCCAUGGCAUUCGGUGGUUGAUCCAAGUACCAGAAGCAGUACCGAUGGUGGCUGCAUGUGUCCCCAGCCUACAACUUUAAAUGCUAACCGACACGACCUUAAGUUAGGUAGAGCUACCCGUUGAGUUUAA